UGGGGGACAACGUUUCGAAAGGAACGCUAAUACCGCAUACGUCCUACGGGAGAAAGCAGGGGACCUUCGGGCCUUGCGCUAUCAGAUGAGCCUAGGUCGGAUUAGCUAGUUGGUGAGGUAAUGGCUCACCAAGGCGACGAUCCGUAACUGGUCUGAGAGGAUGAUCAGUCACACUGGAACUGAGACACGGUCCAGACUCCUACGGGAGGCAGCAGUGGGGAAUAUUGGACAAUGGGCGAAAGCCUGAUCCAGCCAUGCCGCGUGUGUGAAGAAGGUCUUCGGAUUGUAAAGCACUUUAAGUUGGGAGGAAGGGUACUUACCUAAUACGUGAGUAUUUUGACGUUACCGACAGAAUAAGCACCGGCUAACUCUGUGCCAGCAGCCGCGGUAAUACAGAGGGUGCAAGCGUUAAUCGGAAUUACUGGGCGUAAAGCGCGCGUAGGUGGUUCGUUAAGUUGGAUGUGAAAUCCCCGGGCUCAACCUGGGAACUGCAUCCAAAACUGGCNAGCUAGAGUAGGGCAGAGGGUGGUGGAAUUUCCUGUGUAGCGGUGAAAUGCGUA
rnacentral:rRNA from 1 species